AAUCUUAUAUUCAAAAUAUGAUAUUAAAUUCCAAAUUUAAAGGUAUUAAUUU
rnacentral:tRNA from 1 species